rnacentral:misc_RNA from 1 species
UCUCCGUAGGUGAACCUGCGGAGGGAUCAUUACAGAGUUUUUGCCCGCAAGGGUAGAUCUCCCACCCUAUGUUAUUCCUUCUCUGUUGCUUUGGCGGGCCGUCCGGCCUCGGUCAGGCCACCGGCUCCGGCCGGUGCGCGCCCGCCAGAGGACCCCAAACCCUAAAUGUCAGUGUCGUCUGAGUACUAUAUAAUAGUUAAAACUUUCAACAACGGAUCUCUUGGUUCUG